rnacentral:sRNA from 1 species
AUAUAACAAAACUUGCAACAAUCUAGAGAAAAAAGUUGAAAAAAAUCAAACAAAAUUUGUUUAAACUCUUGAAGGGCGUCGUCGUCGUAAAUAUUAAGAUCUCAAAAGUUUUACAACCUAAAUAAUAAAAAAACAAAAAGAAACCAAAAAAAAAAACUCCUCUUAAGAUAUAUCCCAGAUUAUAAGACAUUUUUCUCUAAACCCCCAAAGUAUGCUAUGACUUUUGUGUUUCCGCUUUGUUGUGUUUGAAAAAGAGAUUUAACAAAACAAAAACAAUUUCUAAACAAACGGCGACGACGACCCCCCCGACGUUUUGUUUUCGUAAAAUCACCUAAUAUGUAUGGUUUUGUUUGCCUCCUCAUUUUAAAACUGUGGCCCACAAAAACCUUACAACUUCUGGUUUCUUAAGUAAAUAAUGCCCAUUUGUAUAGAAGCCCAAGUAAAUAGUAACAAACAUUUAGUUUUCAAUACCUCAAAUCACUAUAUUGGCCACACAUGUAAAUUUUGUAAAUUACCUCAAGAAAUCACCUCAAAGUUAAACAACUGCAACAACCACAAAAACAAUAACAACAUUAACAUAUAUGCUGUUGUUACAUUUGCUUUUGUUGGGCAAUUGUUAACAUUACAAACCAUAAGCAUUCCAAACAGCAAGCAAAUUGCAGCGUAUGUCGCCUGGGCCACCUACAAGAACGACGACGUCAAGGACCUCAGCAGGGCUAACGCAGACGACGGUGCAUCAAGAACGUCAAUGACAACACUACUAAAACAUCAUCAAAUGCUAAAUAUAAUGGAUAAAUAACAUCAGUAAAUUGUCCUGUUACACCAUAACGAGAAGUUAUCCAAUGAGAAAGCCGCUUAAAUUUUGGAGGAUUAACGAUGGACGACAGAGAUAAUAACGCUUUGUUUGUGAGAGACUUUUAAGCGCGCGUAAAAAAGGAGAGAGUUACAAUACAAAACCAAUACAAAAUUUUUGAAAAAAAUAAACAUCAAACUUAAAAUUUCAAUUAAAAAAAUCUUGAAAAA